UCGGUCCCCAAACUUAACAAUUUUCCAAUUGAACACUUAAACUCAUUCAAACCAUGUAUAAUAAACACUUAUGAUAGGAGGCUGUCAGUGCGUGUAAUACAAUCUCCUACACGUAGGACGCCACGUCAAGAAAAUUAAACUACUUAGGCUCCAGGUCAUUUAUUAUGGACACAUAGCAAAAUAAAAUGGGAAAUAAUUAUUAACCUCCCCCCAAAACCAAUUCUUCAUCUGUUUUUCAUCUUUCAAGCUUAACCCAGCACCUUUCAUGACUUCUCCCACGAUGAGCAAUCAUACUCUCUUUUUUUCUUCCUACAAAUCCUAUAAAACCCAUUACAAAUUGCACAAAAUGAGAUCAUAAUUUUUCCCAAGCAUAAAACUCUUCUUGGGAGCUCGAACGCAGAUAAACUUACCCCUACCUUAGAAUUUGGUGACUGUUGUUUUACUCCCUAUCUCUGUCGUUUCUCUUCUUCAUCUUCCCUUCCCCCCUGUUUUAUUUUCUCUAACUCUUUGUUAGUUUUUUACAGGUCUGGACCCAACCGAAUAAAUUAGAUAUGGCCGGAAAUAUAACUUUUCCGGGACCUUUGUUCUACCACAGUACUGGCCGGCGACUUUCGCUCUUUCUUUUAUGUUAUUAGACCCCAAAUAAACUUAGGCAAACUACCAGAUCUUGGCAAAAAAUUUGGCCGAAAUUUGAUUUCGCUUGAAUACUUGCUCUUCCUUCUAAUUAUGAUGUUUCUGUAUUACUUUGACAAUAGUUCACAUAUUUGUUCUUUGUGCAGAUCUGGGGAAUGAGAAAAAUUUCACUUUGGUUUGUAUGGAGAUAAUUAUUGUUUCUUUUGAUUUUAGUAUUUGUUUUAAUCAAACCAGUGUAUUCACCCAUUUUUAAAAAGCGUGUGACCAUUCACUUCAUCUGACAUAGCAAAAUAAAUGCCACAUACGCUUGGUUAACAGUCAGACUGGUUUAAAAUAUAAGUUUUAAUCAAGUAGAAAUGUCUGGAUGAAAACAAAUGAUGUAGAGAGACCGGCAUGACAAAGUGGCACAAGUAUAGGUGUCAUUUAGGCCAUUCUGCCUAGUUUUUGCUUGGAAAUUGAGGAUUUUCCAAUGUAAGAGACAGGAGCCAAUUUUGGCAUUUUAGUUGGAAUUUACUAGUAUUAAUGCCUAGCUUUUGCCAUAGAGUAU
rnacentral:lncRNA from 1 species